rnacentral:rRNA from 1 species
UACGUAGGGUGCAAGCGUUAAUCGGAAUUACUGGGCGUAAAGCGUGCGCAGGCGGUUCGCUGUGUCCUGUGUGAAAGCCCCGGGCUUAACCUGGGAAUGGCGUGGGAAACUGGCGGGCUGGAGUGUGGCAGAGGGGGGUGGAAUUCCGCGUGUAGCAGUGAAAUGCGUAGAGAUGCGGAGGAACACCGAUGGCGAAGGCAGCCCCCUGGGCUAACACUGACGCUCAGGCACGAAAGCGUGGGGAGCAAACAGG